GACGAACGCUGGCGGCGUGCUUAACACAUGCAAGUCGAACGGAAAGGCCCUGCUUUUGUGGGGUGCUCGAGUGGCGAACGGGUGAGUAACACGUGAGUAACCUGCCCCUGACUUUGGGAUAACUUCAGGAAACUGGGGCUAAUACCGGAUAGGAGCUCCUGCUGCAUGGUGGGGGUUGGAAAGAUUCGGCGGUUGGGGAUGGACUCGCGGCUUAUCAGCUUGUUGGUGGGGUAGUGGCUUACCAAGGCUUUGACGGGUAGCCGGCCUGGGAGGGUGACCGGCCACAUUGGGACUGAGAUACGGCCCAGACUCCUACGGGAGGCAGCAGUGGGGAAUAUUGCACAAUGGGCGGAAGCCUGAUGCAGCAACGCCGCGUGCGGGAUGACGGCCUUCGGGUUGUAAACCGCUUUCGCCUGUGACGAAGCGUGAGUGACGGUAAUGGGUAAAGAAGCACCGGCUAACUACGUG
rnacentral:rRNA from 1 species